GACGAACCCGUGCGAACGUUGUUCGGAAUCACUGGGCUUAAAGGGUGCGUAGGCGGCUGAGCAAGUCGGGUGUGAAAUCCCUCGGCUUAACCGAGGAACGGCGUCCGAUACUGCUCGGCUAGAGUGAGAUAGGGGCGCGUGGAACUUCCGGUGGAGCGGUGAAAUGCGUUGAUAUCGGAAGGAACGCCGGUGGCGAAAGCGACGCGCUGGGUCUCCACUGACGCUGAGGCACGAAAGCUAGGGUAGCG
rnacentral:rRNA from 1 species